rnacentral:rRNA from 1 species
GACACGACUCUCGGCAAUGGAUAUCUCGGCUCUCGCAUCGAUGAAGAAUGCAGCGAAAUGCGAUACGUGGUGCNAAUUGCAGAAUCCCGCGAAC